ACAUGCCUACAACAUAGUGUUAAUUCAUUGGAUCCCAUUAGAACUCUGCAUUUAAGUGUGCUUAGGAUAGAGUAGUACUGGGAUGGGUGACCUCGCAGGAAGUCCUAGUGGUUUACAUGCA
rnacentral:rRNA from 1 species